rnacentral:rRNA from 1 species
UACGGAGGGGGGCUAGCGUUUGUUCGGAAUUACUGGGCGUAAAGCGCACGUAGGCGGCUUUGUAAGUUAGAGGUGAAAGCCCGGGGCUCAACUCCGGAAUUGCCUUUAAGACUGCAUCGCUAGAAUUGUGGAGAGGUAAGUGGAAUUCCGAGUGUAGAGGUGAAAUUCGUAGAUAUUCGGAAGAACACCAGUGGCGAAGGCGACUUACUGGACACAUAUUGACGCUGAGGUGCGAAAGCGUGGGGAGCAAACAGG